rnacentral:pre_miRNA from 1 species
AGUGGAAUAACUGGGUCAAAUGGUGGUUCCAUUCUGAGUUUUAUGAGGAAUCUCUACACUGCUUUCCAGAGUAGUUGCACCAAUUUGCAGUCCAACCAGCAAU